rnacentral:rRNA from 1 species
AUACGUAGGGGGCAAGCGUUGUCCGGAUUUAUUGGGCGUAAAGGGUUCGCAGGUGGUCCUUUAAGUCAGAUGUGAAAGAUCACAGCUCAACUGUGGUAAGCAUUUGAAACUGAAGGACUUGAGUUAAGGAGAGGAAAGUGGAAUUCCUAGUGUAGCGGUGAAAUGCGUAGAUAUUAGGAGGAAUACCAGUGGCGAAGGCGACUUUCUGGACUUAUACUGACACUGAGGAACGAAAGCGUGGGGAGCAAACAGGAUUAGAUACCCUGGUAGUCCACGCCGUAAACGAUGAGUGCUAGGUGUUGGGGGUCAAACCUCGGUGCCGCAGCUAACGCAUUAAGCACUCCGCCUGGCGAGUACGUACGCAAGUAUGAA